rnacentral:snRNA from 1 species
GGUGACUGCGUUUUGCAGGUU